GUGAACUAUAUUUGCACAUAUAGUAAAAUUGGAACGAUACAGAGAUUAGCAUGGCCCCUGCUCAAGGAUGAUACGCAAAUUCAUAAAGCAUUCCAUAUUUUU
ensembl:snRNA Gm23428 U6 spliceosomal RNA